UGGGGUUCGCACACAAACAUCGUACGAGGACAAUAUAAAGAAAAUUGUUGAUUUUAGUACUGUUGAAGGUUUUUGGGUUUGCUACUGCCACUUGGCUCGUCCAUCAGCAUUGCUCAGCCCAACUUAUUUGCAUCUUUUCAAGGAGGGUAUUCGUCCUUUAUGGAAGGAUGCUGUUAACUCCCAUGGUGGGAAGUGGAUAAUUCGUUUUAAAAAGGCUGUCUCAGGAC